UCCGCCAGCCUCAGCCUCCCGGUAGCUUGGAUUACAGGCGCGAUCCCACUACUGAGCGGCACGGGGGCUUUGACCUGCUUCGUUUCCGACCUGGGCCGGUGCACCCCUCCUUAGGCGACCUGGUGGUCCCGAGCUCCCCCAGGAGCACCAUAUCGAUGCCGAACUUAGUGCGGACACCCGAUCGGCAUAGUCCGCUGCAGCUCAGGAGCUCAAACGAUCCGCCAGCCUCAGCCUCCCGGUAGCUUGGAUUACAGGCGCGCGCCACCGCACCCGGCGAGAAGUGCUGUCGUUUAUGCAGGCUUUAAGGUGUCUACACGUGACGUCAUCUGGAAACAGUGCAGAAAGCCGUUAACAACAUUAUUUUUCAGCAAUAAUGACCUGACAUUAGUGACAGUAAAAACGUGACAGGUUAACACGCUUAACCCUACAUAAAGUGUUUUGUUGUUGAGUUUGUGUUCUCCCUCACAACGUCAUUCAGUUACUGAAGA
rnacentral:lncRNA from 1 species